CAGGGGGCCGGAGCUAUUAAAAGAUAAAUGUAUUUCUCUCUUCCAUUAUUCAUGAUGUGAGGAGGUGGGGAAGGAGCAGCCAGCCAGCGGCUUAGCACAGCAGUGGAUCCCUUCUCGGCCUCGUCAGGGCCAAGGCCCCCGCUACACCCGCUGCACCCGCUGCACCCAGAUGCAAGAGAGGUGAAACAAGAAGAGUUCAGCUCAUUGAUCUAAACCCAACGGGUGUCAGGCACCAAAGCUGAUCCACAGCAGCAGAUAGGGGAGUGAAUGUCACAGCAGCCCUCUCAAGCCCUCCAGGACUGAGCCUCGCAGACGUCAAGUGUUAAUUUAGGGUUCCUGCCGAGCGUGAGCCCGUCAGCGGCGAGGCUUGGAGGAGGGAGCCAGCCCAGGGCCUGAGGAAGGCCAAAGCCAGUGUCUUGGAGGCAUGCGGACUCCAACUUAUCCCUAAGAAUACAUCCAGGCAGCCAGGGGCACAGCGGGAGGCUAAUAGACUAGCACAGAGGAGCCCCCCUGAAGCUUGAUGCAUUGUGUCAAGGCCUUGUCUACUUCACGCACAUUAAGGAUCACAUGCCACAAUUUCACAGUACAGCAGGGGGACCAGGCCCCCGUCCCAGCCCCUGAUUGGCCAGUGAUGGAUGGUGUUGACAGUUACAAGCCGAGUGCCAAGUGGAGCAACACAAAGGUCAAGGUUGAAGCUGCCAGUGUGGUCCGGUUAACAAUAGAAGGUCUCCAUAGUAGGAAAAUGCUGUUUAUACUAAACACUAACUAUGUAGUUAUAUGGACACAAAGGAUUUUAGUCAUUUAAAGCCACGGCUUUUGUUAAAGAGGCAGACUUGCUUAAAAUGCCCAAGUCAAAACACAGCAAUCAUUAUAAAAAAAAUCCCAUUUAAAAAGAAAACCAAACUGUUUAGUAAUGGACAUUUUCAUGGAGACCACCAUGUCCCUGUGACAGAUAGCAGUUGCCGUUCUGUGGCACAUCACUCUGAGAAGAGGGGAAUAAAA